rnacentral:rRNA from 1 species
UACGUAGGGUGCAAGCGUUAAUCGGAAUUACUGGGCGUAAAGCGUGCGCAGGCGGUGAUGUAAGACAGUUGUGAAAUCCCCGGGCUCAACCUGGGAACUGCAUCUGUGACUGCAUCGCUGGAGUACGGUAGAGGGGGAUGGAAUUCCGCGUGUAGCAGUGAAAUGCGUAGAUAUGCGGAGGAACACCGAUGGCGGAAGGCAAUCCCCUGGACCUGUACUGACGCUCAUGCGACGAAAGCGUGGGGAGCAAACAGG